ACUCCACCACUUUAGCAAUAUCUGCUCAUCUUCUGCUUUAUUUUCAUUCAUGCAGACUUCAGAUCUGAAACCUUUGACUUCUCAUUUUUCCUGCCUGCUGUCAUUGAACUCACUUGCUGAACCUGUCUUUCAUUAUCCUCCCUUUUGUAUUAUCUGUUCUCCACAGUUCUGCUCUACCACACUGGAAGCUCUCUCUUCCACCUGUCAAAAAUUUCAAAUAACUGCAACCUGCAACUCUGAAGAUAGGAGAUUUCCCGUGAACCUGUGCCAUGAGAUAAAGAGGAGGAGCAAGACAAUACGGUGUCAAGGGCCAAGACAACCUAGUGGAAAUCUUAGAAGGUUGAGAAACUCUCACCAGCUGUCACCUACAAGAGAAGUGGUGAACAAGGCUGCCUUUAAAAAAAUCAAAGAUGAAGAUUGUCUUCUUGCAGGAGAGUCUGAAGGAAUAUGAGCCUUUGGAGAUCACUCUUUGCACCCUGGCCCCAUCCUACAGUAGAUUCCUGGGAGCACACAUCCAGGGACACGUCUGCAGCCUCCUCUCCUGCGGAGCAGAUGCCAGCCAUCUCCUCCACCAUCAAUCCUAGUUUUGACCCCAGCAGGAAACUGGCAUCUCCAUUUCUCUUCUGAAAGAAAUGACCAAUUACCAUUUUCUUUCUCCACCCUGGUGCGAGGCCAGGACUCCUUCCCCUCCUUCUGCAGUAAUACCAUGCCAGGCGUUUGACAAGUCAGUGAAUCUCUGCACUUGAUUGUUUUGGGGCAAGUCUAUCCCACUGGGCCAUCUGCAGCAUGAGCUCUGACCAGACAUUUCCUUGGGCAACUAGGGGACAAAGUGAACAAUCGCCUGUCAUCUUCUCUUAUCAUGGUCCUGCACAUUCACACGAGCUACCUUUAAUUUUAGAAGUUUACUUUUGCAUUGCUCACUGUGCAGCUGAAACAAAUCUGAAUUACUGCCAUAGCCAGUAGGAUAUUUUUCCAGCAGGAAAUGACAUCCAGUGCAUUCCUCAAUCCUCUGCCUUCCCAGACUCAUUAUUAGUGGCCUAGCAGAAGCACUUAAUUCUGUGAAGAGCUCUAGUAGAAAUGUCAGCCUUGGUAUGGAAGGGGCACAGGUGAGAAAUGUCUGGGUGUGGGAGAACAGGAUGAGGAAGGGACAAAAGAAUAGCAUGCAUUAAUGGCACCUAAACGAGUAGGUCGUCAAGUCUACAGCACAACUAUCUGCAGUUUCUAUAAAAAACAACUAGAUUUAAAAAAACAAAGGGCAACCUAAGUACAACAGCCUACACCCUGAAAGAGAGACAAAGGAACAAUGAGUUAACCAGCAAUUUUGCCUAAUGACUCACAGAGGUGGGACAGAGGGACAGACAAUUCAUAGUCUCUGUCAUCUUUUAAAAGGUGUAAAAGACACAUUCAAAAACCAACCACGUGAUUGCCAAUGUUAAGAACAACCUUAAAGACACAAUGAGAACAAAUAACUAGGUUCCCAUAUCCUCUGUCAAAUAAUCCUGGGGAGGCCAUGUGCAGACAGGGAAAGAAUGAGCAAGUAAGUCUGAGAGAGAAUGACUGUAUGAGUUAUAGCUGGUUUGUACAAAAUAAAAGGCCCUUUCCUUCUUAUGCUGUCUCUUAUUACUGCAAACUAAUUCUGGAUGCGGGUGAAGCCACUCCUGCCAGGACUUGAGAUCGGCUUG